rnacentral:miRNA from 1 species
UCGGGUUUUCUAUCAGCGAAUA